rnacentral:lncRNA from 1 species
CAUAAAGCAUAAUACUACUUUUAAGGUUAAAGAUGAUUUUACACAGAUUUGUAGCAUAUAUUUAAAUCUACAACUGGCAGUUUAUGGAAGAACAAGGACAACUGCCAAUUUCCCAGCUAUAGAGAGUCUUCAAGAAAUAACAUAUUUGCUAACAGAUGAGCCUAUGCUUUAUAAUUACAAAUGGCUUCUUAACAAUAUGACUACAGUACCAAAAAUACAAGCACUUCCGACCAUCCUAAUAAGAUGCAAAGGAACGUGUCAAGACUAUCAGGCUUUACUAAAACAUGCUAAACAAAAGGAGUUAACAGUUUCUUUUAAAUAAGCUGUCACUUGGCUAUAGCAAACAAUUUUGCUUUAAAAGAUCAUUUCUUUAGUCAAAGUAGAAUCGAAUUUAGAAUAAUUACUCAAGUAAACAUUGAGUUCCAGUUUCCAAUAAUGUUAAAAUAAUCAGUUACCUAAGAAAUGUACAGAGUGAUGCAUAACUGCCUAGUGCUUUAUAUUUAAUGCACGUAUUUCUGUUUUUAAGGACACAUAAUAUCUAGCGCAAAAAGAAAGAAGGUUAAAAAUGUGUCUCUUUAAAUCACUACUUUGGGAACCAUCAAAAGCAUAACACAGGCCAUUUAGAUUAUUUUUGGCUGUUAACAUUAGUAUAAUCACUAACAUUUUUAAUAAGCACAAAUGAAACAAGCCAGUAAAAAUGAAAAAUACUAUCAAAACAUGUCAUGCAUAUCUCAUACUGAACAUUCAAAAGAAAAUUGUUAUAGCCUUGUUAUAGACCCUACGGUUAGCACCAUUUUUAUAUCUGAACACUUUGAGAAAGCAAACGAAGGUCUUAAAAAACUAAAAUUAUUAUAAGGAUAUAGGAAAAAUCAAAACACAAUAAGGGUGGUAAUAAACAUUUGUCAAAUAUUUACAUCAACACUGGGAGCCUGCUGUACUACUAAAGAAAAUCAAACUGAAACUGAUAUGCUUAACUCUUUCUAUCCAUGCUGAGCAUAGCACAGAUGGGUGACUAACCUGCGCUGGCAUUAACCCGCCCAUAUAAAAAAGGCAUAAACAGUAAGCAG